rnacentral:rRNA from 1 species
UUUCCUACGGGAGGCAGCAGUGAGGAAUAUUGGUCAAUGGACGAGAGUCUGAACCAGCCAAGUAGCGUGAAGGAUGACUGCCCUAUGGGUUGUAAACUUCUUUUAUAUGGGAAUAAAAUGUUCCACGUGUGGGAUUUUGUAUGUACCAUAUGAAUAAGGAUCGGCUAACUCCGUGCCAGCAGCCGCGGUAAUACGGAGGAUCCGAGCGUUAUCCGGAUUUAUUGGGUGUAAAGGGUGCGUAGACGGGACAGCAAGUUAGUUGUGAAAGCCCUCGGCUUAACUGAGGAACUGCAACUAAAACUAUU